GAUGAACGCUAGCUACAGGCUUAACACAUGCAAGUCGAGGGGAAACGACAUCGAAAGCUUGCUUUUGAUGGGCGUCGACCGGCGCACGGGUGAGUAACGCGUAUCCAACCUGCCCAUCACUUGGGAAUAACCUUGCGAAAGUAAGACUAAUACCCAAUGAUAUCCCACGAAGGCAUCGGAAUGGGAUUAAAGAUUUAUCGGUGAUGGAUGGGGAUGCGUCUGAUUAGCUUGUUGGCGGGGUAACGGCCCACCAAGGCAACGAUCAGUAGGGGUUCUGAGAGGAAGGUCCCCCACAUUGGAACUGAGACACGGUCCAAAAUCCUACGGGAGGCAGCAGUGAGGAAUAUUGGUCAAUGGGCGAGAGCCUGAACCAGCCAAGUAGCGUGCAGGAUGACGGCCAUAUGGGUUGUAAACUGCUUUUAUAAGGGAAUAAAGUGGGUCUCGUGAGACUUUUUGCAUGUACCUUAUGAAUAAGGACCGGCUAAGUCCGUG
rnacentral:rRNA from 1 species